UUUCACUUUAUUUCCUUUCCUACUGCAUUUUUAGAAUAUCCUCAACUCUUAAAACUCACAGCAAUAUCAUGAGUUGUAACUUUGAAACCUAAGUUUUAAACAUGAAAGUAGCAGUGGUUAGGGUAAGUGGACUGGUUUCUGCAUAUGAAUUGGCAAAAGUUGUGGUUUAUGAAAAGGAGGAUUAACUCGGCGGCCACGCCAAGUCUGUCACUGUCGACGGCGUUGAUGAUGACCUUGGUCAGUUGGUCUUAUGGUCUUCAAUCGGGUUAAGGAGGAGCUGGAGGAGGCUGCCAAUUAAGAACUGGUUGUGAAGUAAAUUCAGUAUCGACAGAUGAAGAAGGUGUAGUUUGGUUUUAUUUUUGGCUUGUUGCAAGAGUUCGUCGUGCUGUUUAUUUUAUCAUAAUAGUAGAUGCGCAUAUAUCUGUUGGAAAACGGAUAGGUUAUUACCUAAUGACAAUUUAUUUAACGAGAAGACCCGAUCACUUAUGUGUUUAAAAUGGUCCAUUAUAAAGGCAAAACUAGAAAUGAGGAAGAUAAGUUUUCAUUGAUAUCCAUUAGUGUUUUUUUUACAAUAAUGGUGUUAGCGCCAGCUUACGCACACCUCGACUAUUCAAUUGGGUACUUGUUAUCUCCCACCAGUGCAGAUACGGGUAGCUCCAUCCACCAAGGCAUAGCCAAAUGCAAAGAAAUCACCUAGUAUUCCUUGGUAUUCAAUUUUUGUACCCACUUUAUUAACCACUUGUUUCUU